rnacentral:rRNA from 1 species
UACGAAGGGUGCAAGCGUUACUCGGAAUUACUGGGCGUAAAGCGUGCGUAGGUGGUUCGUUAAGUCUGAUGUGAAAGCCCUGGGCUCAACCUGGGAAUGGCAUUGGAAACUGGCGACCUAGAGUGCGGUAGAGGGUAGUGGAAUUCCCGGUGUAGCAGUGAAAUGCGUAGAGAUCGGGAGGAACAUCUGUGGCGAAGGCGGCAUCCUGGACCGGCAUUGACGCUGAGGAGCGAAAGCCAGGGGAGCAAACGGG